rnacentral:rRNA from 1 species
CCUACGGGAGGCAGCAGUGAGGAAUAUUGGUCAAUGGGCGGGAGCCUGAACCAGCCAAGCCGCGUGAGGGAAGAAGGUACAGCGUAUCGUAAACCUCUUUUGUCAGGGAACAAAGGCGGGGACUAGUCCCCGGAUGAGGGUACCUGAAGAAAAAGCAUCGGCUAACUCCGUGCCAGCAGCCGCGGUAAUACGGAGGAUGCGAGCGUUAUCCGGAUUUAUUGGGUUUAAAGGGUGCGAAGGCGGCCUGUUAAGUCAGCGGGAAAAGCCCGGGGCUCAACCCCGGCGAGCCGUGGAAACUGGCGGGCUGGAGUGGGAGAGAAGAACGCGGAAUGCGAGGUGUAGCGGUGAAAUGCUUAGAUAUCGCGCAGAACCCCGAUUGCGAAGGCAGCGUACCGGCUCCACACUGACGCUGAGGCACGAAAGCGUGGGUAUCGAACAGGAUUAGAUACCCGAGUAGUC